rnacentral:rRNA from 1 species
UACAGAGGGUGCAAGCGUUGUUCGGAAUCAUUGGGCGUAAAGCGCACGUAGGCGGCUUUGCAAGUCGGGUGUGAAAGCCUGGGGCUCAACCCCAGAAGUGCAUUCGAAACUGCAGAGCUUGAGUCUUGGAGAGGGCAGUGGAAUUCCGAGUGUAGAGGUGAAAUUCGUAGAUAUUCGGAGGAACACCGAUGGCGAAGGCAGCCCCCUGGGCUGACACUGACGCUCAGGCACGAAAGCCAGGGGAGCAAACGGG